rnacentral:misc_RNA from 1 species
UUGUGCAACCCGAGGCGUGAGGGCUGUCGCCGACCAUAUCGUGCACGCCCGAGCGCACUCACCCUCAUCCACUUCACCUUUGUGCAUCACCGCGUGGUGACCCCUUGGCUUGUUCCAAAGGGGCCCACGUUCUUCACACAAACACCCCUUUAACGAAGUCUAGAAUGUCUUUGCGAUGACACGCAAUCAAUA